rnacentral:rRNA from 1 species
AGCGAACGCUGGCGGCAGGCCUAACACAUGCAAGUCGAACGAACCUUUCGGGGUUAGUGGCGGACGGGUGAGUAACACGUGGGAACGUGCCUUUAGGUUCGGAAUAACUCAGGGAAACUUGUGCUAAUACCGAAUGUGCCCUUCGGGGGAAAGAUUUAUCGCCUUUAGAGCGGCCCGCGUCUGAUUAGCUAGUUGGUUGAGGUAAUGGCUCACCAAGGCGACGAUCAGUAGCUGGUCUGAGAGGAUGAUCAGCCACAUUGGGACUGAGACACGGCCCAAACUCCUACGGGAGGCAGCAGUGGGGAAUCUUGCGCAAUGGGCGAAAGCGUGACGCAGCCAUGCCGCGUGAAUGAUGAAGGUCUUAGGAUUGUAAAAUUCUUUCACCGGGGACGAUAAUGACGGUACCCGGAGAAGAAGCCCCGGCUAACUUCGUG